UUGGGCUCUGCCCGGCCAUCUUGGGAAGGUCCACGCCCGCCUGACUGCGGAAGCCUCAGCUGGUAGACGCCCCGCGGACGCCAUGACAAAGAGGUCGCGGAGGAUCAGGACGCUGCCUCCUGAUGUAAGCAGGAGGUCUGAGCGACGGAACCGGACGGGUAGAUGUCAAGUUGUUAGCGGGCACCAAGCAGCCAUCUAGCACUACAUAUACGAGUUCCCUGUACCUGGACUGCAGAAAACAAAAACUCUUCAUAGGAAAGCAACUACAUUUCUACCCAUAAAGGCCUGCAGCUUCGGUGAGCUCCAAGUAAAAUGAACAAGAGAAGCAGAUUCCAGCAGGGUUUUGUUUUGUUUUAUCCCAGGUGCCCCUCAUCUCUGAAGUCUGGUCAUCUCACUCAUCCCAGGCUGAGGAGAGGUUUUCUGGGAGUUUGAAGCUAUCCUGGGCUACACAGUUAGUACCAGGCCAUCAGAGAUACAUAAGGAGACCGAGGAGACCCUGACUCAAACAAACAAAGUACUACACAAAACCAGGUGGGAAGAUUUUUCCAUUCCUCUACCAGUGUACCUGUCACUGCCUUCUAAAAAAGCCUCUUGCAUUCAUCUUCAAGUCUGUAUCUUCGGGGUCUGUAUAUGUGACAACCCACAGUAAACUAGAGAAGCAGUGGCUCCUUCUGUGAACCAACUGUACCUGCAUUGCAGAACUCUGGAUCAAGGGAAGAGCCAUGUUGUAACGAGAGAGCAGCCAAUGGUGCACCAUGUUUUCUUCGUUCAUCUUACCUAUGGGGUUCAAACUGUGGAAACCGGAAGAUGUUUUCUGAAUCCUAGAGCAAGGCUCUACUGUGUAGCCAUGGGUAAGUGGCUUCAGGUUUUGAGUGUCAGGUUCCUUAGCUGGAAAGUGGAAAUAAAUGACUUUCUCUCGCAGAGCGUGUGCCAUUACUAGGGUGUGAUCACCCAGUACAGGAACUCAUUCUGCAGCAAUACAGUGCCCCCUCUGCCUCUGCAGGCUGGAAGGCUCUUCUGCCUCCCCUCAGCUGAGAGCCCUGGCAGGUUUUGGAAGUCCAUCCAGUCAGAUGCAGUUGUCUGACUCAGAAGCCUGCUGCUGGAGAGUAGGGAAGCUGUAGAGAGCCUCCUGGCAAGAAGCACUGGGGGAACUAUGGGAGAGAAUGUCCUACGGGCUGUUCCAGUGUGAACUGCAAUGUACCUAACGGGAGCAAAGCGCAAGCUUUCUGCAAAAUAUUUGCCUGGCACAUUCAGAGCCCUGGGUUUGAUGCCCAAGCACAGCACUAAAUUAAUUACUUAAUCAGUUUCAAUAAAUAAACAAACACAGGCUUUCUGCUGAUAAAAUUUAGAUACUAUUUCUGUCUGGCUAUAUGACUUCCAAACCCAGGUCUCCAACACUCCCACCCUGAGUCAGAGACUGUGUGAGCCACCUAUCCUUUAAAAACCAGUUAGAGUAGAUUCCAUUAUUUGGAGCUAAGUUCCCUGGCAAUUUCCGCAAUUGUAGGUAAAUAUAGUGUCUGGUACUAGAAGUAGGGUCAAUCAGACUGUACUUGUGGCCUCUGGCCUUCCAUGUAGAUGAGCUAAUACAUUCCCUUACUGCUUCUGGAAUUCCUACUGAAGCUUCCAACUCCUUUAGCUUAAAUGCAUGAGAAUCAAUCUCUUUUUUUACACUUCCAGUGCCUGGAUGUACCAAAGAUUUGCUUAACACAUCACAUUUAUAGUUGUUAUAAUUGAUAUACAAUAAAGCAUAUAUUUAAAAUAUAA